CCAGCCGUAAACUAUGAACACUAGGUGUGGAGGGUAUCGACCCCCUCCGUGCCGCAGCUAACGCAAUAAGUGUUCCGCCUGGGGAGUACGGCCGCAAGGCUAAAACUCAAAGGAAUUGAC
rnacentral:rRNA from 1 species